UACGUAGACCUCGAGCGUUAUUCGGAUUUAUUGGGCGUAAAGAGCAUGUAGGUGGUUUUGUGCGUCUUCUGUUAAAGCUCAGGGCCUAACCCUGGAAGUGCAGGAGAUACGACAAGACUAGAGGAGGUUGGAGGUGCAUGGAACUCACGGUGUAGGGGUGAAAGGCGUUGAUAUCGGGGGGAACACCAAAGGCGAAGGCAGUGCACUGGGACCUUCCUGACACUGAGAUGCGAAAGCGUGGGGAGCAAAAAGG
rnacentral:rRNA from 1 species